GGAGGAAGUCUCCGAGUAGGGCUUCUGCGCACGCGGGCCGUCCUCUCCGGUGACCUCGACUGCCUAAGACGCAUUUCUCUCUCGUCCUGUGGACGCUGCAGCCGGGCUGGAAGUGCAAGCGCGACGGUCUGGAGGCCGGGAGACGGCAGGUGGCCGGUGGCGCGCCUCGUGUGCGCUGCCGGUUGUUAGCCAUCCCCUCAGUGACUCGUCUCCAAACCGUUGUGUCGCGAGGCCCUUCGGGGCCUCCUCGUCUCCAACUCAGAGUCGCAGAACAGGGCUUGGCCAGGAUUCUCUCAUUCGACUGUCGCACUUCCACGAAGUGGGCUGACGAGUGAGAGUUCUGCAUCGCCGAGACGGAUCUGCGGGAGACUGGAGGCUGGCAGCGAGUAGGUCGGUCACCCACCCGACCCGUCUUGAAACACGGACCAAGGAGUCUAACAUGUGCGCGAGUCAAUGGGUCUUGACUAUGCCCAUGGGCGAAAUGAAAGCAAAGGAAUGCCUCAACUCGUCCGAGUGGGGAAUCCUUUCUUCUGAGGGAUGGGCGCAACCACGACACGUCCCUAUCCGACUCGUCGGUUGGGCGUAGUCUGAGCGUACACGUUGGGACCCGAAAGAUGGUGAACUAUGCCUGGACAGGAUGAAGCCAGAGGAAACUCUGGUGGAGGUCCGUAGCGGUUCUGACGUGCAAAUCGAUCGUCAGAUCUGGGUAUAGG
rnacentral:rRNA from 1 species